CUGUCAGUGGAGGCUAAAUGUUGGGAAAAAGGAUUACUGAGUGAAAAUUGGCUUACUCAUUAUGGGGGUUAAGGGAGACUGACAGACACUUAUUUUUUCGGAAUAUAUAUUCAAAGUACAACCUACAAAUCAAAUAUAAAUUCUUAGUUAUACACAACAUAUUUAACCCAUUAAGCCCCUCUUCAAGACCAUUUCAUCUUCAAAGAAGUUCCAUCAACUGAACCAGAUAUAUUUGUCAGAAUUUAUAUUUCUCCUUUAUUUUGAUUUUUUAAUAUGUCAAAUAAUGAAAGUCGAAAAGGAUCAGAUGAGGACGAGGAGGAUGAAAAUGAAAAUGAAAGCGAGAACGAAAAGAAAAAGAAGGAGAAAAAGGGAAAACCGCGGUUUUCCCCCUCACCAAUAAGGCCGGAUCAAAGCGACGACGAGGAAGUCAAUGUGACAUAUGCGGACCCGGAUGAUGUCCAGGAUAUGUUCACCAGACGCUCCUGGUGGCAGAGUCCGCCCGAUAUGUUGCCAUCCUCCUCGUGGGACGGUCCCGAUUACUUCGAUUUCGAUGAUCUGCUUCCGAUCAUUGGAGAGUUUGGUCGCUUCCAGCUUGUUCUAUUCCUGUUCAUGAUCCCCUUCGGCUACAUCGCUGCCUAUGUGUACCUGGGUCAGAUAUUCAUGACGCUGACGCCCCACAAGUACUACUGCUUCGUGCCCCAACUGACCCUGGUGCAGGGCGAGGACCUGCGGAAGAAGCUGUCAAUUCCCCUGGAGUCGGAUGGAUCCUUUAGCCGUUGCCGGAUGUUCGACAGGAACUAUACCAAUAUGCAUGCCAAAGUUGCCAACAACACACACGAUGUAGACGAGACGCUGCCGACCAUUCCCUGCCAGUACGGAUAUGUCUAUGAGGACAAAGAGAUGCGGUUCCACUCGGCCACCAUGGAGUUUGGAUGGGUGUGCGACAACGACAAGUACGCCACCUAUGCCCAGUUCAUCUUCUUCGUGGGCUCUAUUUUGGGUUGCGUGAGCUAUGCAUACCUAGCCGACCACGUCGGACGGCUGAAUGUAUUGGUCAGUAGCUGCUUCCUGGCCAUGCUGGGCAGUCUGGCCACCGCGGCGUCCUCGAACUUUUAUGCCUUUGCCUUUUGCAGAUUAAUCGUUGGGGCCUCCUACGACAGCUUGUUCACUAUGGUGUUCAUUUUGGUGCACGAAUAUGUGGGACCAAAGUAUCGCUCCUUGGUGGCCUUCAUUUCACUGGCCCUGUUCUACUGUCCCUUUACGUUGUUGAUACCCUGGAUGGCUCUGUGGACCGGUGAUUGGCGGAGGUUUGCCGUGUGGGGAUGUAUGCCCAUUAUCCUUGGAAUGGCCGCCUACUGGCUGCUGCCGGAAUCGGCACGACGUUUUCCGAUCGCAGCUGGCUGGUGUCGAGGGACAACAUUGAAAAGGCCGUAGAGAUCCUGAAGACGGUGGCGCGAAGAAAUAAAAUGGUGCUGCCAGCAGAACUGAUUGAUAGCUUCAAGGCGGCGCCGCUUGGCACGCUUUAUGAUCCUAAUGACCCUCGUCUGGAUGGCCAUAUCGCUGCUUUACGAUGGACAGGUGCGAGUGGCC
rnacentral:misc_RNA from 1 species